rnacentral:rRNA from 1 species
AAGGGCACCACAAGAACGCGUGGAGCAUGUGGCUUAAUUUGACUCAACGCGGGAAAUCUUACCGGGUCCGGACACACUGAGGAUUGACAGACAAUCACACUAUCUUAUGUAUAUUUAUUUAUGCGUAAGUAGUGUCAAACAAAGAUGCUAGUUCUUUCAUGAUUAUGUGAUAGGUGGUGCAUGGCCGUUCUUAGUUCGUGGAGUGAUCUGUCUGCUUAAUUGCGUUUCACAAUUAAAAUACGAAUAUACGCAUUAAUGAUUGCUUGACCCCAUAAAUUUAUUUUUAUGCGCUGCGUCUCGUAUCUAUUAUAUGCAUUCGUUAUUUCGAAAGCAACGAACGUGACCGUAUCCUUUUGUUAAAUGUAUAUAUACAUUUUAAAAACUAAAGGGACCGCUGUUUCUUUCUUAAACCAGAGGAAGGUUACGGCAAUAACAGGUCUGUGAUGCCCUUAGAUGUUCCGGGCUGCACACGUGCUACAAUGAUUAUUUCAGUAAGUAUCUCAUUAUAAAUAGAAUGUACUUUACGUACAUCUAAAUCCUACCUCGAAAGUAAGGUGGGUAAUCAAUUAGAAGUAAUGAUUUCCUAAAUAUUUUGUACAAAAAUAUACAGCGUAUUCAUAUCCCAUAAAGGCUCUAAGUCUGCAUGCGUGUGUAUGAUACGUAAAUAUUACUUUUAUGUAUUAUUUUUUCUGUAUGUACAAUUGUUAAUUCAUGGUGGGGACAGACCAUUGUUAAUUAUUGGUCUCGGUCUUAACUAGGAAUGCCUUGUACGGGUCUUUGGUUCAUCAAACCACCCGGAAUACGUCCCUGCCCUUUGUACACACCGCCCGUCGCUCUUACCGAUGAACUUUACUAUGAAUUUGAGGGAAAGACCUUUGAGUCGCAAACUUAAAUGAAUAGUGUGGUUUAAAGGAAAGAGAAGUCGAACAAGGCA